ensembl:lncRNA
GAAGGAAGAGGAAAUACUGAAAGAUCAAAACAGAGAAGAAACCGACUGUGUUUGCUGGGGCUCUGAAGCCCGAACAGGACACUGUGAAUGGAAAAGGACCAGUGAGAGAUGAAGCUGGACGAGUUUGACUGCGAGAAGAUAGGAGAUGAUUGGAUUGAAAUUGAACCCUGAACUCGUGAUAGUUUAGGGAUGUCCACCACGUCACAACAAAGAGGUAAACAAUACAAAAGAGUUGAUGUUCCGUCCAAAAGGGUUUUAAGCUUCACUGGUGAGAGUGUCCAGGUGAUACAUGUUGAGGGAAGAUGAGAACAUAGCAGGGUAAAGGUGGACCACAGGUUGCUUUGUUUCUGCUUAGCAACUACUGAGGUAAAUGGUGUUAAAGAUAAAUAUGCAAUAAGUGAACAGGAAAUGUGUAAGGGUGAGCCGGGUGAAACAAAAUGUUGUGGAUAAUGGAAACUUGUCU